GCCGCCUUAGCUCAGCUGGUUAGAGCAUCUGUCUUGUAAACAGAAGGUCGUCGGUUCGAAUCCGACAGGCGGCUCCA
rnacentral:tRNA from 11 species